UACGUAGGAUGCGAGCGUUGUCCGGAAUUAUUGGGCGUAAAGAGCUCGUAGGCGGCUUGUCACGUCGGUUGUGAAAGCCCGGGGCUUAACCCCGGGUCUGCAGUCGAUACGGGCAGGCUAGAGUUCGGUAGGGGAGAUCGGAAUUCCUGGUGUAGCGGUGAAAUGCGCAGAUAUCAGGAGGAACACCGGUGGCGAAGGCGGGUCUCUGGGCAGUAACUGACGCUGAGAAGCGAAAGCGUGGGGAGCGAACAGG
rnacentral:rRNA from 1 species